GAAAGCAGCUAUCACCAAGUGCUCUAUGAAAAAGUCUUCUAGACUGUGCCAACAGAGCUCUUCGGUUCCAAAGAAAAUACUCCACAGGCCUCAGUUUUGUCAUCUAUAAAAGAAAAGGCAAGGGUAGACCCGAUGAGUUCUGAGAAGCCCUUCAGAUUGAAAUUCUACAGUUCCGUGGUUAUGAAUUAUAGAAUGCUAGAAUUCCAGGAAAAUGAUGCAGGAGACCAAAAGGACACUGGAAAGACAAUAACUGGGAAAAAAAACUGGACUUCCUCUACCAUGCCCUAGAAACCUCUUCACCCUGAAAGCUCACUCUACCCAUACAUUGGAAAUACUUCGGUUCCUCCCAGACCCCGUAAUUUGAGGAGACCCAGGCCGAAGCUGUAUUCAUCCCUCUCCAGGCUACAUUGAGGACUCAUCUCCAAAGGACUUUCUCUACCAUGGCCCUGCUCCUGGUACCUUAUUUC